UCUCUCUCUCUCUCUCUCUCUCUCUAACCGUUUUCGAUUCCACCACCAUUGCGCUCGCUCUCCAUUGUCACCGCCGUCGAUCACUCUCGGUUGUCACCGCCGUCGAUCACUCUCGGUUGUCACCGCCGUCGCCGAUUACUCUCGGUUGUCACCGCCGUCGAUCACUCUCGGUUGUCACCGCCGUCGCCGAUUACUCUCCGUUGUCACCGCCGUCGCCGAUUACUCUCCGUUGUCACCGCCGUCAUCAGUCAUCUCACCACCGUUGUGAAUCGUGCACCACCGUUGUGGCUCAUCUCACCGGAUCUCAAAGUGUUCUCGAUCUAAUCUCGCUUUCGAUCUACACUGUAUCAUCGUCAAGCUCUCAAAUCUCACAUUGACGUUCUCAUUCUUCCUUUCUCCAUAGCUUUCCUGGUUUGGGAAAUUGUCAGUAUUACUGUAUUUUGGUCUUGGUUGUUGAUCAUUGUUAGUAGAAUCAUACGACGGAGAUAUGGCAGAGGCAACUUAUGUUGAAGAGAUAACCUAGCUAAGGUUGCAACUAUAAAAUAAACUUUUGCUUUUAUUUUCAUUUAAUUUUUUAAUUGUGCUCUAAUAGUUAUGUAGUUUUUCUAAUUGUGCAAUAAAUUAUUUUCUAGCAUUUGAAAUAACUUGUAACAUGACAUGGUAUUGAAGCUUGCACUUCAGCUAGUGUCAUCUAUCAUAUCUAAUCUAUCUAUCUAUAUCUAUCUAUAUAUUCAUAUUCAUUGUAAAGCAAACUUUUUUUUGCUGAUGUGUCAUCUCUACAAAACUCUUUUUGCUUAUGUGUCAUCUCCACAAAACUCAAAAUUUUUCUAAAUAUUAUGUACAUUCCUUUUGUUUCCUUCACAUACUAAUUAAUUGAAUCAUUCACCUACUAAUUAAUAAUAAAUAAUUAAUAACGGAGCAUUAUUAUUAUAAAUAAAAAUUGUUAUGAAAGGUGAAAGAUCACCCCUUUUAAUGUUAUUUUAAUUUAUUUUUUUAACUUAUUUUUCUUAACCUUUCAAUCCCUUACUUUUAUGGCCUAAGUCAUAUGAUAAGUUGUAAAUUUUUUGAAACGGUGCACUCUUUUAAUAUUAGCAACCAUUUACUAUUUUCCUACCAAAAGAUCUUCUUAGCCUUUCAAUUCCCACAAAAAAAUUAAAAUGUGGCAUUAAUUGACUAUAUAUAUGUGCCUUAUGAACAAUUCCUCGGUAGAUAUGACUGUGUGAACUUUCAAUUUGAGAGAUGUGUGUAUUGUAGAAGGAGAAUAAUAAUCAAAGGUUUGUAUUUUCAUUUUGUGUCCUUUUUUCUUCUUGAUAAUCAACGUAUGAUGUUACUCUUUUAAUUUAAGCACAUACCAGUUCAUGUUUCGUGUAGCUUUCUGAGGCGUGCAAAUGGAGUGAUCGAUUGCUAUCGCAACACAUAAAGUGUAACAUUUAACCUGGAAGUGGAAUGUGCACGUUUUAAUACAAGUUAUACCAUCGGGAACUUUAACUUCUUUGGAUUGAGCUAGAUAGAAGACAUGAAUAUGUAUGAUGACAACAUAAAAUGGUAAUAAUUGUUUGCUAUGUAGAGGGGUAGCAAUUCUAUGUAUGAGGUGGAUAGUGUCAACUUUUAUGAUGUAGCUCUCUUGAUUUGUAGAAAAAAUCUUCUCAAUCUCUCUUAUAUAGUCUGGUAAUUGUUUACUAUAUGUAGAGGGGAAACAAUUGUAUCUGUGUUUUGUAUGAUGUGAGCUUUUAUGUUGUAACUCUUUUGGUUUGUAGAAAACCUUCUCACUUUCUCUUUUGGUUUUGUAUGAUGUGAACUUUUAUGUUGUAAUCUCUAAUAUUGAUGUAAUUAAGCUUAAGUUACAAAAAAAUCCACCCUUUCUCAUUU